rnacentral:rRNA from 1 species
UUGAGUUUGAUCAUGGCUCAGGACGAACGCUGGCGGCGUGCCUAAUACAUGCAAGUCGAGCGAAUCUUGAGGGGCUUGCCCCUCGAGAUUAGCGGCGGACGGGUGAGUAACACGUGGGCAACCUGCCUGUAAGACUGGGAUAACACCGGGAAACCGGUGCUAAUACCGGAUAAUUCUUCACCUCUCAUGAGGUGAAGCUGAAAGUCGGUUUCGGCUGACACUUACAGAUGGGCCCGCGGCGCAUUAGCUAGUUGGUGAGGUAACGGCUCACCAAGGCGACGAUGCGUAGCCGACCUGAGAGGGUGAUCGGCCACACUGGGACUGAGACACAGCCCAGACUCCUACGGGAGGCAGCAGUAGGGAAUCUUCCGCAAUGGACGAAAGUCUGACGGAGCAACGCCGCGUGAGUGAUGAAGGCCUUCGGGUCGUAAAACUCUGUUGUUAGGGAAGAACAAGUAUUGGAGUAACUGCCGGUACCUUGACGGUACCUAACCAGAAAGCCACGGCUAACUACGUGCCAGCAGCCGCGGUAAUACGUAGGUGGCAAGCGUUGUCCGGAAUUAUUGGGCGUAAAGCGCGCGCAGGCGGUCCUUUAAGUCUGAUGUGAAAGCCCACGGCUCAACCGUGGAGGGUCAUUGGAAACUGGGGGACUUGAGUGCAGAAGAGGAAAGCGGAAUUCCACGUGUAGCGGUGAAAUGCGUAGAGAU